GCUUGCUCUUCUGAAGUUAGCGGCGGACGGGUGAGUAACACGUGGGUAACCUGCCCAUAAGACUGGGAUAACUCCGGGAAUCCGGGGCUAAUACCGGAUAACAUUUUGAACUGCAUGGUUCGAAAUUGAAAGGCGGCUUCGGCUGUCACUUAUGGAUGGACCCGCGUCGCAUUAGCUAGUUGGUGAGGUAACGGCUCACCAAGGCAACGAUGCGUAGCCGACCUGAGAGGGUGAUCGGCCACACUGGGACUGAGACACGGCCCAGACUCCUACGGGAGGCAGCAGUAGGGAAUCUUCCGCAAUGGACGAAAGUCUGACGGAGCAACGCCGCGUGAGUGAUGAAGGCUUUCGGGUCGUAAAACUCUGUUGUUAGGGAAGAACAAGUGCUAGUUGAAUAAGCUGGCACCUUGACGGUACCUAACCAGAAAGCCACGGCUAACUACGUGCCAGCAGCCGCGGUAAUACCGUAGGUGGCAAGCGUUAUCCGGAAUUAUUGGGCGUAAAGCGCGCGCAGGUGGUUUCUUAAGUCUGAUGUGAAAGCCCACGGCUCAACCNGUGGAGGGUCAUUGGAAACUGGGAGACUUGAGUGCAGAAGAGGAAAGUGGAAUUCCAUGUGUAGCGGGUGAAAUGCNUAGAGAUAUGGAGGAACACCAGUGGCCGAAGGCGACUUUUCUGGUCUGUAACUGACACUGAGGCGCGAAAGCGUGGGGAGCAAACAGGAUUAGAUAC
rnacentral:rRNA from 1 species